rnacentral:rRNA from 1 species
UAGUCCACGCAGUAAACGAUGAGGGCUAGUUGUCUGCAAGCAUGCUUGUAGGUGACACAGCUAACGCAUUAAGCUCUCCGCCUGGGGAGUACGGUCGCAAGAUUAAAACUCAAAGAAAUUGACGGGGGCCCGCACAGGCGGUGGAGCAUGUGGUUUAAUUCGAAGCAACGCGCAGAACCUUACCUACCCUUGACAUGCCGGUCGCGAUUUCCAGAGAUGGAUUUCUUCAAUUCGGUUGGACCGUGCACAGGUGCUGCAUGGCCGUCGUCAGCUCGUGUCGUGAGAUGUUGGGUUAAGUCCCGCAACGAGCGCAACCCUCACUUUUAGUUGCCAGCAUUUAAGGUGGGGACUCUAGUAAAACUGCCGGCGCAAGCCGUGAGGAAGGGGGGAUGACGCCAAAUCAUCAUGGCCUUUAUGCCUAGGGCUACACACGUGCUACAAUGGGUGAGACAAUGGGUCGCUAACCUGCAAAGGGGUGCUAAUCUCAAAAACUCAUUCCC